rnacentral:tRNA from 1 species
UGUGCAAUAGUAUAAAGAAUUACAGCUUGUUUACACCAAGCAAAUCGUGGUAUUCACGUUACACUU